rnacentral:rRNA from 1 species
AUUGGAGGAAAGCAGGGGAUCGCAAGACCUUGCGCUGAUUGAGCGGCCGAUAUCAGAUUAGCUAGUUGGUGAGGUAAAAGCUCACCAAGGCGACGAUCUGUAGCGGGUCUGAGAGGAUGAUCCGCCACACUGGAACUGAGACACGGUCCAGACUCCUACGGGAGGCAGCAGUGGGGAAUUUUGGACAAUGGGGGCAACCCUGAUCCAGCCAUGCCGCGUGAGUGAAGAAGGCCUUCGGGUUGUAAAGCUCUUUCAGCCGGGAAGAAAAUGCAUGGGUUAAUACCCUGUGCAGAUGACGGUACCGGAAUAAGAAGCACCGGCUAACUACGUGCCAGCAGCCGCGGUAAUACGUAGGGUGCGAGCGUUAAUCGGAAUUACUGGGCGUAAAGCGUGCGCAGGCGGUUUUGUAAGACAGGCGUGAAAUCCCCGGGCUUAACCUGGGAACUGCGUUUGAAACUACAAAGCUAGA